rnacentral:rRNA from 1 species
CCUACGGGUGGCAGCAGUGAGGAAUAUUGGUCAAUGGACGAGAGUCUGAACCAGCCAAGUAGCGUGAAGGAUGACUGCCCUAUGGGUUGUAAACUUCUUUUAUAUGGGAAUAAAAUGUUCCACGUGUGGGAUUUUGUAUGUACCAUAUGAAUAAGGAUCGGCUAACUCCGUGCCAGCAGCCGCGGUAAUACGGAGGAUCCGAGCGUUAUCCGGAUUUAUUGGGUUUAAAGGGAGCGUAGGGGGAUUGUUAAGUCAGUUGUGAAAGUUUGCGGCUCAACCGUAAAAUUGCAGUUGAAACUGGCAGUCUUGAGUACAGUAGAGGUGGGCGGAAUUCGUGGUGUAGCGGUGAAAUGCUUAGAUAUCACGAAGAACUCCGAUUGCGAAGGCAGUUCACUGGACUGCAACUGACACUGAGGCUCGAAAGUGUGGGUAUCAAACAUGAUUAGAUACCCGGGUAGUC